rnacentral:rRNA from 1 species
UACGAAGGGGGCUAGCGUUGUUCGGAAUUACUGGGCGUAAAGCGCACGUAGGCGGGUUGUUAAGUCAGGGGUGAAAUCCUGGAGCUCAACUCCAGAACUGCCUUUGAUACUGGCGACCUAGAGACUGGAAGAGGUUAGUGGAAUUCCCAGUGUAGAGGUGAAAUUCGUAGAUAUUGGGAAGAACACCAGUGGCGAAGGCGGCUAACUGGUCCAGCACUGACGCUGAGG